rnacentral:rRNA from 1 species
AACGAACGCUGGCGGCAUGCCUAACACAUGCAAGUCGAACGAGACCUUCGGGUCUAGUGGCGCACGGGUGCGUAACGCGUGGGAACCUGCCCUUAGGUUCGGAAUAACUCCCCGAAAGGGGUGCUAAUACCGGAUAAUGUCUUCGGACCAAAGAUUUAUCGCCUUUGGAUGGGCCCGCGUUGGAUUAGCUAGUUGGUAGGGUAAAAGCCUACCAAGGCGACGAUCCAUAGCUGGUCUGAGAGGAUGAUCAGCCACACUGGGACUGAGACACGGCCCAGACUAAGCCGGGACGAAGCAGGGGGGAAUAUUGGACAAGGGGUGAGAGUUUGAUAGAGCUAUGCCGCGUGAGUGAUGAAGGCCUUCGGGGUGAAAAGCUCCCGUACCCGGGAUGAUAAUCAGAGUAACGGGAGAAUAAGCGCCGGCUCACCCCGUG